GAUCAUGGCUCAGGAUGAACGCUGGCGGCGUGCUUAACACAUGCAAGUCGAACGGGAAACAUUUCAUUGAGGCUUCGGCGGAUUUGAUCUGUUUCUAGUGGCGGACGGGUGAGUAACGCGUGGGUAACCUGCCUUAUACUGGGGGAUAACAGCCAGAAAUGACUGCUAAUACCGCAUAAGCGCACAGAACCGCAUGGUUCGGUGUGAAAAACUCCGGUGGUAUAAGAUGGACCCACGUUGGA
rnacentral:rRNA from 1 species